rnacentral:tRNA from 2 species
GGGCCUUUAGCUCAGUUGGUUAGAGCAUCCGGCUCAUAACCGGACGGUCCACAGUUCGAGUCUGUGAAGGCCCACCA